CUAUGGUGUAAAGGUAGCACACGGGACUCUAAAUCCCUUAGUCGGCGUUCGAUUC
rnacentral:tRNA from 1 species